CCUGUACACGCCUGUUCUCAUCUGAUCCCAGAAGCUAAGCAGG
rnacentral:rRNA from 1 species